rnacentral:tRNA from 1 species
AGUAAAAUCAGCUAAUUAAGCUUUUGGGCCCAUACCCCAAAAAUAAUGGUUAUUGCCAUUUUUUACUA